rnacentral:rRNA from 1 species
UUAAGUCAGGCAACGAGCGAGACCCACGCCCUUAGUUACCAGCGGAUCCUUUUGGAUGCCGGGCACACUAAGGGGACCGCCUAUGAUAAAUAGGAGGAAGGAGUGGACGACGGUAGGUCCGUAUGCCCCGAAUCCUCUGGGCAACACGCGGGCUACAAUGGCUAAGACAAUGGGUUCCGACACCGAAAGGUGGAGGUAAUCCUCUAAACUUAGUCGUAGUUCGGAUUGAGGACUGUAACUCGUUCUCAUGAAGCUGGAAUGCGUAGUAAU